UUUUCAUUUCACUUAAGGUUGUGUGAGGGUCUGGUCUUUGUGAGGUUUUUUCCUCUCAGGGUAGUUGUUGAUUUAUAGUUAUUUUUGUUCUUCUAUGCUGCCAAGUUAAGAAAGAAUCUGGCCUCUGGUUAUCUGCGCAGAACAGUGGAGUUGCUGACUUUCACUUACUGAACAAACAUCAAAUGCUGCAUAAAGAAAUGCAAGUGUAAGAUGCUUGGUGGAACUUUGCUGAGUGGGUAGAAAUCUUUAGCCUCCUGUUCCCAGGCAUAGUGGGAUGCAUAUUUCCUGUGAAGAAUUCUAGGAAAAACAAGACAAACUACGAAUUGCCUUAGCUAGCAGUAUAACAACAGAAAGCAUGGUGUGAUGGAAAAGAGACCUGUGCCAUGUGGUAACACAAAGAUAUUCAUUAACAUUCCUGAAGAGCUUCACCGACUUCUAAGGGACUUGCUGCUUGUUGGACCAUUGGACAGAUAAUAUUCCUCUGGUAACACAGCUGAGCAGCUCAGUGAAUGCACGCUUGAUCAUGGACAAAUGAAGCUCUUUGUUCAGAUGGGGAAGACAACACCAGAGAAGUUGACCUUUAUUGAAAUUAAACAGGUCUGUAAAAACCUGGUGGAGCAGCAAGCCAAGUGAGGGCUGCAGCAGACACUCAUCACAUGGUGUCAACAGUCAACAGUUAUUUGAAGCUGAAGGUAAAACGUAAGCAUCUCUCCUACUGCAGCAUGAGAAAGAUGCCAUACCCCAAGCUAGUCAGCUAGGUAAGAAAGCAUACCUGUACAUCAGUGUGACUUAAAAACAAGAUUAACAAUGGCUUUGUGUGGAGUAAACCCAUGCCUAGUGUAGAAAAGUAACUACACUCCCCUUGUCGUGGACUACAGUGUGACUUGGAGACUCUUCCAUCCUGCAACUGUACAUCUGUGCGAGCAAAGGGCUACCAGAAACAAGUAACAAGGAUAUUGAGACCAUUGCUCAAUAACCACAGCCAUUCUUUUGUAAUAUUUAUUGAGCUCUGCGGGGGCUUUCCUGGGAUCAGAACUUGGCAGCCUUUAGUAGCAAUAUUUUCAGCUAUGCCAUAUGGACUGCUUCAUGUUAUUACAGCUCAUGUUGGUAGCUGCUGGUUAGAGACCUUGCAGAGGUGUGUUUCUGUGCUGUAACUUAUAGCAAAAUGCUGUGUAAUCUCAAUGCCAGCUUGACUCCCCCUGAGCUAUCCAGGGAGUGUGUGUCUGGCCACCUUUUUCUAUUUAACCUGGUUGAUGGAACACUAAGCAUCCAGCUGCAUUGUUUUCAAAACUUCUUUAAUUUCUAGGUGUAAACUGUCCCAAGAGAAGUAUAUAGGUAGUUUCUAUUUAAACUAGCUUUGCAGAAAUGAAACAUGGGGAUUUUAAGAUGACCUUUACAUGUUGUACCAAAACUCAGCCUGUAUAGUACUUUGAGACACAGGUACAGUACAAAGUCUUUUUUUCCUGUACAGCUAAAACACAUGGUUGCUUUUUCAAUAGAUUGCUUCCAGAAAGAACUACUCUUCUUAAGCAGCAGGUAAGGAAGAUAGGUGAAAUACUGGAAGGGAAUAGGAAAGGAUAUUUAAUAUAUUUAAUCUUAUUAUACAUUUUUCUACAUUUAAGUCAACAGGCUGCAAAUAUAUUCUGCUACAAAGCUUUUUGUAAGAAAUAUCUCUAUAAGAAAAUACAUCUCAUUAAACAUUUCCUGUAAAUAAAUUAUCCCAAAUUCCUAUGUUCUGCAAGAGGAAAAAGGGGGCUAGGCUGACAACAGAAUUGCUGAGAGCCCAUUCCUGCAACCCCCCUUGCUCACACUGGGUAUCAUUUUCUUUUAUAUGUAUCCAUAAUGAGAAAAUAGAUCUCCUCUGCUGAGUGUGCACUGUGUCAGGGUAAAUAACACCUGCAAAACUGGUUUCUGUACUUUUUGUAAUAUCUUGAAAUGAUGCUAUUUCUGAGCCUUAUUCCUGUUUCAGUUAUGCUGGAAGAACUCUGAAAGACUGAGUUGCAAUUAUAGGACUGCAAGAUAAAACUCUGAGUGAAGACUAUUAGAAGACUCUGCCUGUGAGCAGUCCCUCAAGCUGCAACGUGGCAAAUAACCUGCUGACAGAUGAACCUUCUUGGACUGCACUGCUUCCUAUGGACAACGUAUACACCUUCCUUAGCAGUCAUUACCAGGCUGGAAACCCACUAACAGCCCUAGUGCUGCACCCCUGAAACGUCACAGGACUACACAGCAAGAUCUUCUGGCACACAUGAAGUCUUGAUUUAGAAGAGGAGGUCGCAUCUUUCCAUACUUUGCAAGAGAGCCCCUUGGCACAGUCACAUCGUUGGAAAAUCUCCAGUCCAUGGGAGCCUUUCUUGCGCUGUUUGGUGCACACCUCCCCCUGAUGCAACACAGGCUUGCAAAUUUUGGUCCAGAAAUGGCGAGCACAGCAGUGUCCCUCAAUACAGUCUGAUGACCGUAGGCAGGGGUCGCCUUCGUGUCCUGAAAAGAGCAAUUGAACUAGUUUACCUCCUGGGAAAAUGUGACAUUAGAGUCAGUGUAGGCUGAGCCAAGUAAAUGAAGCUCAGGAAAACUGGAGAUGAUAUUUGCAUCUGUAGCUACUUGAAAGGUGUAAACACAAAGAUAUGGACUAGGAAGGUUCAAAGAAGUAACUGAUGCUACCUACCACGUGACUUAAGAAGAUGAAAUUCUCAGAGUAGAGGUUCAUCCUCUGAAAUUAUUGCCUGUUUCUGGUUACAGCACUAAUGUGGUUUGAUACCUGAGGCAGAAAGCACUAUAGUGCAAAUGCGAUCUUACCUUUUAUGUGUGACAGCUUGGAGCGUGUCCUCCCUAGGUUUUGCCAUCCCAAAUCCUUGCUAGCAUAGUGACCAUUCUUCUUGUUGCGUGGCCCUUCCAGAGCAGGGAUGUGAGGUGUAAGGAUGCUUUCAGUGACUGGUAUGCAAAUACCUGUGAGGAAAGAAGAGCUGGUCAAAGAUUCAAAGGAGAGGAAACACAACCAAGAGACAAACACAGGCCAGGAACAGGAAUGGGCUGGGGCUUGG